GUAGAGGAAGCUUGCUUCCUUGAGACCGGCGCACGGGUGCGUAACGCGUAUGCAAUCUACCUUGUACAGGGGGAUAGCCCAGAGAAAUUUGGAUUAAUACCCCAUAGUAUUAUUGAAUGGCAUCAUUUGAUUAUUAAAGUUCCAACGGUACAAGAUGAGCAUGCGUCCCAUUAGCUAGUUGGUGUGGUAACGGCACACCAAGGCGACGAUGGGUAGGGGUCCUGAGAGGGAGAUCCCCCACACUGGUACUGAGACACGGACCAGACUCCUACGGGAGGCAGCAGUGAGGAAUAUUGGUCAAUGGGCGCAAGCCUGAACCAGCCAUGCCGCGUGCAGGAUGACGGUCCUAUGGAUUGUAAACUGCUUUUGUACAGGAAGAAACACUCCCUCGUGAGGGAGCUUGACGGUACUGUAAGAAUAAGGAUCGGCUAACUCCGUGCCAGCAGCCGCGGUAAUACGGAGGAUCCAAGCGUUAUCCGGAAUCAUUGGGUUUAAAGGGUCCGUAGGCGGUUUUAUAAGUCAGUGGUGAAAUCUGGUCGCUCAACGAUCAAACGGCCAUUGAUACUGUAGAACUUGAAUUACUUGGAAGUAACUAGAAUAUGUAGUGUAGCGGUGAAAUGCUUAGAGAUUACAUGGAAUACCAAUUGCGAAGGCAGGUUACUACGAGUUAAUUGACGCUGAUGGACGAAAGCGUGGGGAGCGAACAGGAUUAGAUACCCUGGUAGUCCACGCCGUAAACGAUGGAUACUAGCUGUUUGGGAGCAAUCUGAGUGGCUAAGCGAAAGUGAUAAGUA
rnacentral:rRNA from 1 species